CACUGUGUAUGGCAUGCUGCACUAAGUUUCUUGCUUUUAUGCUCUCACGCACUCUUUCUCCAUUCCCCUCUCUCUUCUUCCAUCUGCUGGAGCUGCUCGCCUUUCUGUCGGGGACACCGAAGCAUUCAUGCGGCUGAGAGCCAUUCUAUUAUUCAGCUAUAAGUUCUGGAUGACAAAGGAAAGAGAAGAGGGGCAAAUCACCCACUGAAGAGGAAGAAAAUAGCCACACAUUUUGAUGCCUGGAGGAUGAAACCUCCUAUGUUAUUUCCUUCCGUCUUUCUCUCUAUGUCCAUUUUGAUUAAUGGACAUCAUUAGAAAUAGACACAGGCUAUCAGAACUUGAAUGAAUCAGGCAGCUGCAGUUACCCACGAUGCUCUGCAUAGUCGGAGCAGUAUAGAGUGGUGCAGCUUUAAUGACAAAUCGAAAUGACAGAAUAUGUUUGGAAAAAAAAUCCAUGGCAACCAUGGCUGCAAAGGACGGCAAUCGAUAUCGUUUUGGUUAUGCAGCAGCUACAAGUUUGAACUGAGGAGGACAGAGAGCCAAAUAGAAAGGAGGAUGGAUAUGAUGGACACGGCAUCACAGUAUGGUAAGGGGCUUGACAUUUCCGUCACACGCUUGAGGUAUUCUGCCAAUCACAAUGCACUGGAUAGCUGGCCAAUCAGACUACACCUCGCAGGAUGAUGAGCUUUGUAAAAAUUGACGCAUUUCAGAAAGGUGGGGCAAAGAGGAGAAACAAUAUUGUACAGUCUCUGGGGGGUAGAGGGGCUGCACAAGAGUAAUGGCCCGGCUGUGGACAACAAACAUAUCCAUCCAUAUGACCCCUGAGACGGAGGCCUGAUGAUAAUUCCCAAAACACACUGCACUCGCACACACACAUGCACAUGCAUAGAGAGAGAGCACAGUGUGAGAGAGAGACACUCCCACACGCCCUUACCAGCACUGUGUUAUUUUAAACCAGCACAUUCCCUUAAAAUAAAAAGAAGAAAUAAAGAGGUGAAGUCUAUUUCAAAAGCAAACUCCCACACCUGGAGGACCUGUCAAGCACUGUCUGCUAUUGAGCUCCAGCACUAUAUCAAGCUAAUGGGGGGAAAAGUGGGUCAACAAGAAUUAUUCAUGAGGUUCCUCCAUUUAAAAGCAGACACUUUGUGUAUGUCUCAGAGAAAAAUAGAAAAAGUCUCAGACAACAUGGUUGAUGAGACACAUAUCUGAAUUAUAAAUCACACAAGUCAUUAGUUCAACCUGCUACUACAACUGAUGCUACCCGUAAUCGAUAAGCUAACAGCAUUCAGUUAGACAGAAGACGAGGCUAAACUACAAAAUGAUAACUAUUCGAUAUUCAUGGCAUGUUUAUUCAGCUUUAGUAUUUGCACAUCCUUUUUCAUGAAAAGAUUUUUAUGCAACAGAAUGGGGGCGGACUUAAUACUGGCUAUUCAAUAACCAAAAUUCACUUGCUUCAGUUACGACACACAGGAAGGAAAUUCUUUAAUAUGCAAUAUGGCCAAAAGACAGUUAUGAGAUUAAAUGGAGAGCACUGGAGACUUAAGUUAAGACUUAAGGAGGCUUAAGUUCUGUUUCUCCAAUUAUUCUCUGAGAAAAGACUACAAUAAUUUCAGAAGGGACCUGAGCAAUGUCUUAAAGGAAUAGUUUAUCCAAAAAUGAAAAUUACCCCAUGAUUUACACACUCUCAAGUCAUCCUAGGUGUAUAUGAUUUUAUUCUUUCAGACGAAUAUUAUCAGAGUUAUAUUAAAAAAUGUCAUGACUCUUAGAAGCUUUAUAAUGGCAAUGAAUGGGGGUUGAGAUUUUGUAGCACAAAAAAAUGGCAUCCAUCCAUCAUAAAAAGUGCUCCACACAGCACCAGCGGGUUAAUAAAGGACUUCUGAAGUGAAUCGAUGCAUUUGUGUAAGAAAAAUAUCCAUAUUGAAAACUUUAGAAA
ensembl:lncRNA